CUGGGACACCUUGACUCCAAGCCCAGCAGUAAGUCUCACAUGCCACAGGGCCUCUCAGCCAUCUCUGCUGAGAAGGGACCCUUACUGGCAGCUAGGAUCCUUGAGACCAUCGUCAAGGGCAACCUGGCUAAGGUAAGGUUGGCCUGGGACCUCUUAACUGGGAAAGCAGCAGCUGUGAAGUUCAUUGAUGAGACUCAGCAGAUCUCCUCCAGACACCAUCCACAAAGUAGGAACCAUGAAGGCUCGGAUCACCCCAACAUAGUGAAACAUUUGCUGUGAUCGAUAUUGAGGAAUCUCUUUGCUUUGUCAUGAAGCACACUAGCCAGGAGGAGAAGUUUGUGAAUACCUGCUCAUGGCAGCAGGAAAGAAAAAAAAAGGACUGAAGCAAAUUCUACCAAAAGUGUCUGCUGUGCAAGCUGUCACCAGAAACGUAUUGUCCACAGAGAUUUAAAGGCAGAAAACACGCUCUUGGAUGUUAACACAAACAUCAAGAUUGCAAAUUCUGGCUUCAGCAACAAAUUCAGCUUUUACAAACUGGAUACCUUCUGUGGCAGUCACCUCUGGUCAGCAGAUCCCUGCUUUUGAUGGACAGAAUUUCAAGGAGCUGCAGGAGGGGAACUGAGUAGAAUAUAUUCCCUUCUACAUGUCCAUUGAGUAUAAAAACCUGCUCAAAAAAUGUAUCCUUCUCAAUCCCAGCAAGAGAGGCCCUUCAGAGCACAUUGUGAUGGAUCCAUGAAUGAUUAGGAAGCAUGAACAGGAACUUAAGCCCCGGACCUCCGCCAUACUGAAUCAUGGCGUCCAUGGGUUACGGACAGGAAAGAUCCAGGACUCCCUGUGAAGUGUGAUGAAGCAGCGAUCGCCUACCUGCUUCUGGGUUCUAAGAGAUCCGAACUGUAAGGUUACCCCAUCACCUAAAACCCCCACUGUCAGCUGAUCUGACCCACAGUGGUGCGCCUUCCCUAUACCAGGGUCUCUGCCAGCCCCGAGCAGCAGCGUUUCAGCAACCUGCCUUUCCCAUCUUUCACGGCCUCUCUAAGAAGACUCAGAGGAGCCACAAAGAUCCUAAGCGGGAUCAAGAGACAGAGCAGAAAGGCAGCACUGCGCCCGCCAGCCCCGUACUCGCCUGGAGGGGACGAACCCCGCCCCCUCUGUGAAUAGCGACCUCUUACCAAAACCAAAAAAGAGCAGGAAUUCCUCACUCGGGGCAAAAGCCAGUUUGGCCAGACCUCCACGCAGAACGACAACAGCAGCCCCACAGCGCUGGGCCUGGGGCCUCCUGGGUUCCUGCCUCUCACCCCCCGCCUUCGUCUCCCCGGCCACCAGCCCGGGAAUCCCAGUCGGUCUCCUUGCAGCCCAACCAGGUCUCGGUGUCGUACCCCACGGAGAGCAGCUGGGGGGUGCCCGCCAGGUACAGCUCCCCAGAGUGCCCCUGAUACCUCCCUUCCACCCGCGUCAUCAGCGCAGGGGGCAGAGCAGAGCCCCCGAUGGGACAAGGUACGCGCGGCCUGGCAGCCCGACAGGUGACGGCCCCGGAAAUGCGGCCCAACCGGGUGACCCCAGCCUCUCCCUCAAACAAAGGCCGCAGACAGCAGGGGGCCGCCGGGAGCUUCUUCAGCAAGUUCAGGUUCAAGUUCACAAGCUGGACUCUUAGCUGCGGGUUUGCCCAAAGGAACCUGAAAGAACCUGAAAGCAAAGACGGGGGAGGACACUCCGACCUCACAUG
rnacentral:lncRNA from 1 species